CAAUCAGGCGAUGGCAGACCACUGCCUCGAGCCAUGCUGCGCCGCGCGGCACCAUUGGAGCGAGAAAAGGCGGCGACCAAUGAGCGCAGGGAAAGGCUGGUGUGCGGUCCCGCCAGCUGCCCUCGAUUGGCCGUAUGCCUGACCAAUAGCGACGUGAGAGGGGUUAUAAAUUCCGUGCGGAGGAACGUGUUCUUUCUUUACGGGGCUGCGCGGCGGCGGGGGAGGCAGUGGGGGCCGGCGGGAACCCGAUCGCACCGGCGGGAGCAGCAUCGCGGCGAUGAGGCAGGAGCGGUGAACGGUGAUGUGGGAGCCCGGUGGCGGGCAGCCUUCCCGAGCCUGGGCGGGGCUACCCGGGGGAUCUGAGCCGCUAACGCGCGGUGCCGGUUGUUGGUGGCACACCGUGGGCUGCUGCUGGGGUUUGCACGAGUUGGGCCAGGGCGGUAAACGGGCUGGAGCAGCCGCUUGGUGGCCAUGGUAUCACAGUAUCACAGUAUGUUUGGGAUUAGAAGGGACCUCAAAAGAUCAUCUAGUCCAAUCCCCCUGCUGGAGCAGGUGAGGUCGCACAGGAACAUGUCCAGGCGGGUUUUGAAUGUCUCCAGAGAAGGAGACUCCACAACCCCCCUGGGCAGCCUGUUCCAGUGCUCUGUCACCCUCACUGAGAAGUUUUUUCUCAAAUUUAAGCGGAACCUCUUGUGUUCCAGCUUGAUCCCAUUACCCCUUGUCCUAUCAUUGUUUGCCACCGAGAAGAGCCUGGCUACAUCCUCAUGGCACUCACCCUUUAUAUACUUAUAAACAUUAAUAAGGUCCCCCCUUAGUCUCCUCCAAACUAAAGAGCCCCAGCUCCCUCAGCCUUUCUUCAUAAGGCAGAUGCUCCACUCCCUUAAUCAUCUUCGUUGCCCUACGCUGGACUCUCCAGCAGUUCCCUGUCCUUGAACUGAGGGGCCCAGAACUGGACACAAUAUUCCAGAUGUGGUCUCACCAGGGCGGAGUAGAGGGGAAGGAGAACCUCUCUCGAUCUACUAACCACCCCCCUUCUAAUACACCCCAGGAUGCCAUUGGCCUUCCUGGCCACAAGGGUAUCUCCCUUAUGAGGGACGGCUGAGGGAGCUGGGUCUCUUUAGCUUGGAGGAGACUGAGGGGUGACUUCAUUAAUGGCUAUAAAUACAUAAAGGGUGAGUGUCAGGAGGUUGGAGCCAGGCUCUUCUCGGUGGCAAACAAUGAUAGCACAAGGGGCAAUGGCUAUAAACUGGAACACAGGAGGUUUCAUUUAAAUUUGAGAAGAAACUUCUUCCCAGUGAGGGUGGCAGAGCCUGGCCCAGGCUGCCCAGGGGGGUUGUGGAGUCUCCUUCUGUGCAGACAUUCCAACCCGCCUGGACACCUUCCUGUGUAACCUCAUCUGGGUGUUCCUGCUCCAUGGGGGGAUUGCACUGGAUGAGCUUUCCAGGUCCCUUCCAGCCCCUGACAUUGCGUGCGGCCGCAGUUCAAGGCACUGUGAGGGGGACAAGGGGUGAAGCUCUGAGUGUGGCUGAAAAACGUGCUCACCGGGGUUGCAAAAAAUAAUCAAAAGUCAUGGACUUGUACAUACACAGUAGUUGAGAGGAAACCUCCUGGAACAUGGUGCAUUCAGUUGUGUGAGGAACUGAGAGGAUUCACAGUUCUCACCAUACGAAUGAACCCCAGCACUGGAUUAGGUGGAUGAUUAAUUUAAAUCUUGAAAUCUUUGAUGCAGAGUGGCUCUUUGCAAUAUAACAAGUUGCUCACGUAAUGGUCUUUCCUCAGCCUCAAAUCACGUUUAGCCUUGUAAUUCUUAAUUAGUUUGCUGUUCUGUCUCCACUUUGGCUUCUAUAUUUUGGCAAUGUUACAGCUUACAGAUUUAAUAAAGUUUUCAAAAUAUU